rnacentral:lncRNA from 1 species
UCACUAGACAAACUGAGCACAUUUGAGUCAACAGAUAAAUUAGACUGUUAUGGUGAUUGUGCUCAGUUUGCUAGACUGUUUCAGCUAGAGUUGGGGCAACUUUGAUAGUGCAAAAACUUACCACAAAUAUUGGCAUAGAUGAAGUGCGGUAGAAAAUAAUUCUGGGACUACCAUGAUAAUUGAUUUCUGCUCUAGAUAUAAAUGUAAUGAGCACUGCUAUAGAUCCAUUUUUGAGAUAAGUUAACAAUAAUCUAAAUAUCUUUGCAACUAUAUACGUGGAGAAAGGAACUGAGAGAAUACUCAUAACUUCGAAGCGUUGAAGGCACAGUUGCCUUAAAGGCAAUUCUCCUCACGAGGGAGGAAUGAAUCAUUUUUUAAAGCACUUUAGAGGAGAUCGACUUGCUAAAUCUAGUCUCUUCCUUUCAUGAGAGGGCCUUGCACUAAAAUAAUUCAGGUGAAAAAGUCACAUUAAAAAGCCAAAGCCAAAAAAACUGAAAACGGUUUGUUUACAAAAAUUGAUUUUGAGGUUAUAUUUUUGUUGCGUAUGGUGUUUGGUGAGCAUCUGAACGUUGAUUGUUGCGGAAAUGCAACAAGCGGUACUUUGUAUGCUCGUGUGCGUGUUUGAACAGUGUUUAUUGUGUUGAUGUGUGAAAUAUUACGUGCGUGUGUUUGUAUGUGUGAGUUGAGUCAGUUUCCGUCCGCCCGCCUCCCAACAAUUUGUGUUUUCUGACUCGCUUCAUCAUAUCACAAGCGCUUUAUCUAUCUUUUAUGCCGCGAUGUUCAAGGGGCAGUAUCAGUGUGCGAAGUUUCUGUUCAUCAAUUCUAUUACUUAUUAUUGUGUGCUUAAAUGUGUUUCCUUGAUGUAAACUUUACGUUUAAUAGACGGUAGCACCAGCCGAACCAUGGCAAGCAAGUGGGCUCCUGUUCUAGACAAGCAGCGAUAUGCAAUCGCUUUGUCUAUCAAUUCCAGUAAUCACGCUACUGGUAGCCGAAUCAACGUAGAUUCGUCGAUUCUGCGUACGGCGCGGCAGGGCAGGAUAGCAGUGUCGCGAUGGAUAGAUACCGGAGGCUGGAAGCGGAAUCUGCCCAUAUCUGCCGAUAAUCCGUCGAUCGCUGAUCGAGAUCUGCCGCAGCGUUGAACGAUCGCCUAAAAUCCAAUUAUUUCUUCUCCUCGGGUCUCCGUGCGAUGCGAUGGUGGUCCAGGGUCCAUGCCAAAACUGCCGUGCUAAGGAAAAACGCCGUAUGAACCUUCAGGCGUU